rnacentral:rRNA from 1 species
AUUGAACGCUGGCGGCAUGCUUUACACAUGCAAGUCGAACGGUAACAGGGAGCUUGCUCCGCUGACGAGUGGCGAACGGGUGAGUAAUGCGUCGGAACGUGCCGAGUAGUGGGGGAUAACGCAUCGAGAGGUGUGCUAAUACCGCAUACGUACUGAGGUAGAAAGUGGGGGACCUUCGGGCCUCACGCUAUUCGAGCGGCCGACGUCUGAUUAGCUAGGUGGUGAGGUAAAGGCUCACCAAGGCGACGAUCAGUGGCGGGUCUGAGAGGAUGAUCCGCCACACUUGGACUGAGACACGGCCCAGACUCCUACGGGAGGCAGCAGUUGGGAAUUUUGGACAAUGGGCGCAAUCCUGAUCCAGCCAUGCCGCGUGUCUGAAGAAGGCCUUCGGGUUGUAAAGGACUUUUGUCCGGGAGCAAAUGCUGGUGGCUAACAUCCACCGGAGCUGAGAGUACCGGAAGAAUAAGCACCGGCUAACUACGUGCCAGCCGCCGCAGUAAUAC